rnacentral:rRNA from 1 species
CACGGGGGUUGCGAGCGUUGUCCGGAAUUACUAGGCGUAAAGGGCGGGCAGGCGGAUCCAUAAGUUUAUCGUUUAAGGCGUCGGCUUAACCGGCGUAGGGCGGGUAGAUACUGUGGAUCUGGAAUGCGGUUGGGGAAGACAGAAUUCCUGGUGUAGCGGUGGAAUGCGCAGAGAUCAGGAGGAAUACCGAAGGCGAAGGCAGUCUUCCAAGCCGUUAUUGACGCUCAACUGCGAAGGUGUGGGUAUCAAAACAGGAUUAGAUACCCUGGUAGUCCCUGAG